CUGUAUACUUAAAAGUUAUGCAAAGGGUACAUAUUAUAUCUGUGUAAUCACACUAAAGGAAGUAAAAAAAUCAUCAAGCAGAAGAGAUGCUGAGCAGAAGCAGGGCAUAAUAUCCUGAGGAACUGGGGGAGGAGCCACACAGCAUCAGGUCAAAUGUGGCAGCUCCUUCUACCACCAUGGUCCUCGUGGAUGAGGGAACUGAUGAAAACGGUGUGUACAGAAAUCAUCACUCCAGUGACGAACAGUCAGGGUGAGAAGAAGAAGCUCCCCUACCCCAGGAACCACUGGAAGAAUUGCCCGCCUUUGAGGGAGAAGAAGAGGCUCUGUCUGACACUGAGACUGACUCGAAGUGUGGCACAGAAGCUUUCUCUCACUGAAGAACAGUCUCUGACUAGCUGCCCCACUCCAAUACUUCCAGUAACCCAGGUCUCUAAAGUAAGCUUUUCUGAAGGGUACAUUCAACGCCGCUUGUAUUUACCAAAACAGGGAUUUCUACCUUCCAGCAGAUACUUUGAAUUUUGACAUUCAUUAGAGAACAGUGAGAUUUAUCACCCAUGAUUGUAUUCUGCCCCAUGAAACUGAUCAAACUCAUGAUUUCUGUUCAAAAUGACGCAAACAAUUUC
rnacentral:lncRNA from 1 species